CCCUAAGAUGUCCUGGGCCGCACGCGCGCUACACUGAGUGUCUGAGAUACGAGUCUGCCUGGUCCGGCAAGGUCUAGGUAAUCGCUAAAAGACACAUCAUGCUUGGGAUAGAUUAUUGCAAAUAUUAAUCUUGAACGAGGAAUUCCUAGUAAGCGCAAGUCAACAGCUUGCGUUGAUUACGUCCCUGCCCUUUGUACACACCGCCCGUCGCUACUACUGAUUGGAUGUUUAAGCAAGGUUCUCGAACUGCUAGCGACUUAGCUUCGGUGAGGUCGCAGUGUGGGAAGUGAACCUAGCUUUGGUGUCUAGAGGAAGUAAAAGUCGUAACA
rnacentral:rRNA from 1 species